CGGGACGGGGUGGAGUAAUGUCUGGGAAACUGCCUGAUGGAGGGGGGUAACUACUGGAAACGGUAGCUAAUACCGCAUAACGUCGCAAGACCAAGAGGGGGACCGUUCGGGCCUCUUGCCAUCGGAUGUGCCCAGAUGGGAUUAGCUAGUAGGUGGGGUAACGGCUCACCUAGGCGACGAUCCCUAGCUGGUCUGAGAGGAUGACCAGCCACACUGGAACUGAGACACGGUCCAG
rnacentral:rRNA from 1 species